CACCAAGGAAUGGCAAAAUAUCUUUGCCUUGAGAAAACUCGCACCUUUGGAAAGAAAAAGAGAGAGAAUCGGCUUGGAAGUAAGGAGAGAAAGGAAGAAAGAAAGAAAGAAAGAAAGAAAGGCGAAAGAAAAAAAAGACAAGGAAGGUUCGGCCUAGUGGUUCCAAGCUAAGAAAGGUAAGUAGAACUUUGGUUUUAGUUGGUAAUUGUGUGAGAAUGUUUGUGGUAGAAAAGCUCUUCCAAGAAUUGAAAGAAAUAGAUGCAUGCUUGUGAGUUAAUCUUGGAAUCCAUGGUGAUUUUGAGCUAGAUAAGCUAUGGCGAUAGUGACCAUGGAUGUGAAGAAAUUAUGAACUAGAUAAUGAUCGACUUAGCGUGCAAUCAUUGGCACUUAUGGUUCACUGCGGAUAGGUAAAGACAUCUCAUAGCAUUUCAUUCUAAGUCACUCUGCUGCUAAAGGUCGAAUCAUUCGUAGCAUUAUUUGAUUGUAAAUAGUAUUAAUGUAAAUGUAUGGUGGAUAAUUAAUGUAAAUGUAUGGUGGAUAUUAAAGACC